rnacentral:rRNA from 1 species
AGGACGAACGCUGGCGGCGUGCUUAACACAUGCAAGUCGAACGAGGCCCUACCUUCGGGUAGGUGACCUAGUGGCGAACGGGUGAGUAACACGUGGGCAACCUACCCUCAGCUCUGGGAUAACCCCGGGAAACCGGAGCUAAUACCGGAUAUGACCUUGAACGACAUCGUUCUUGGUGGAAAGUUUUUUCGGCUGAGGAUGGGCCCGCGGCCUAUCAGCUUGUUGGCGGGGUAAUGGCCCACAAGGCGACGACGGGUAG